UGGGAGCUACCCUCAGCAGCGGAUGGAACUACAAGUUAGCUUCCUUGAUUGGAUGGUGUGGGAGGGCCAGCUCCAAGCAGUCUCCCUGGUGUUCCUGACAAAGAAGAUGCCUCUCCCAGUCUUUAUGAAUUGGCCUUGUACCAGAGAAGACCCCACCACCAAUCAGCUUGGCUGGAGAUUCUGGGUGGCUAGACUCUGCCAGACUCAUUGGAGCUCCAAGACUAAUAAGAAGAUGGAAGUCCUUUGGGCAGCCCUGGAAAAGUUGUGGCACUGGACACAUAGAUCACCUCUUUCCCUCACCAAGGGGAAGCUGAGAUGAGAGAUUUUUCCUCUAGCCACUUGAUGCUGAGCAGUGGGGAGGAUAUAUGGUGUCUACAAGUCCAAACCA
rnacentral:lncRNA from 1 species